rnacentral:lncRNA from 1 species
CCAGGGCGGAUGUGACUCCUCCGUUCUGCCUGUACCCUCCCCUUCCCAUGCAGAUGUAGUAACCUGCCUUGCACUGGACACCUGUGGCAUCUACCUCAUCUCAGGCUCCCGGGACACCACGUGCAUGGUGUGGCGGCUCCUGCAUCAGGUGUGCCUCGUGGGCAGCUCUGUGGGGCCCCCGUAGCCCAGACCUGCAGCCCAUCCGUCCCUCAGUGGCCUUCCAGUCCUGUCCUCCUCUAGUCUUGGACAAGGCCUUCAUUUCCUGAGCCUCAGGGGACAGUCCUAAGCCAACCCUGGUCCUCCACAGGGUGGUCUGUCAGUAGGCCUGGCACCAAAGCCUGUGCAGGUCCUGUAUGGGCAUGGGGCUGCAGUGAGCUGUGUGGCCAUCAGCACUGAACUUGACAUGGCUGUGUCUGGAUCUGAGGAUGGAACUGUGAUCAUACACACUGUACGCCGCGGACAGUUUGUAGCGGCACUACGGCCUCUGGGUGCCACAUUCCCUGGACCUAUUUUCCACCUGGCAUUGGGGUCCGAAGGCCA